GACGUAGGGUGCGAGCGUUUGUCCGGAAUUAUUGGGCGUAAAGAGCUCGUAGGCGGUUUGUCGCGUCGGCCGUGAAAUCUCCACGCUUAACGUGGAGCGUGCGGUCGAUACGGGCAGACUUGAGUUCGGUAGGGGAGACUGGAAUUCCUGGUGUAGCGGUGAAAUGACGCAGAGUAUCAGGAGGAACACCCGGUGGCGAAGGCGGGUCUCUGGGCCGAUACUGACGCUGGAGGAGCGAAAGCCGUGGGGAGCGAACAGG
rnacentral:rRNA from 1 species